ACACAGGUGCACUAGGGUUCCGAUCACGCGUGGCGUGGUGUCUGGUCCGAGAGUGUGCCGGCCUCAUCGCAGGCUCCACGGAGGGACAAAAGCCCGGGAGAA
rnacentral:sRNA from 2 species